AUACGUAGGGUGCGAGCGUUGUCCGGAUUUAUUGGGCGUAAAGGGCUCGUAGGUGGUUGAUCGCGUCGGAAGUGUAAUCUUGGGGCUUAACCCUGAGCGUGCUUUCGAUACGGGUUGACUUGAGGAAGGUAGGGGAGAAUGGAAUUCCUGGUGGAGCGGUGGAAUGCGCAGAUAUCAGGAGGAACACCAGUGGCGAAGGCGGUUCUCUGGGCCUUUCCUGACGCUGAGGAGCGAAAGCGUGGGGAGC
rnacentral:rRNA from 1 species